AGUCGAGGGGUAGAGUUAGCUUGCUAACUUGAGACCGGCGCACGGGUGCGUAACGCGUAUGCAAUCUACCUUUCACAAAGGGAUAGCCCAGAGAAAUUUGGAUUAAUACCUCAUAGUAUAGCAGUUUCGCAUGAAACCACUAUUAAAGAUUUAUCGGUGAAAGAUGAGCAUGCGUCCCAUUAGCUAGUUGGUAAGGUAACGGCUUACCAAGGCAACGAUGGGUAGGGGUCCUGAGAGGGAGAUCCCCCACACUGGUACUGAGACACGGACCAGACUCCUACGGGAGGCAGCAGUGAGGAAUAUUGGACAAUGGGCGCAAGCCUGAUCCAGCCAUGCCGCGUGCAGGAUGACGGUCCUAUGGAUUGUAAACUGCUUUUAUACGAGAAGAAACCCUCCGACGUGUCGGAGCUUGACGGUAUCGUAAGAAUAAGGAUCGGCUAACUCCGUGCCAGCAGCCGCGGUAAUACGGAGGAUCCAAGCGUUAUCCGGAAUCAUUGGGUUUAAAGGGUCCGUAGGCGGUCAGGUAAGUCAGUGGUGAAAGCCCAUCGCUCAACGGUGGAACGGCCAUUGAUACUGUCUGACUUGAAUUAUUAGGAAGUAACUAGAAUAUGUAGUGUAGCGGUGAAAUGCUUAGAGAUUACAUGGAAUACCAAUUGCGAAGGCAGGUUACUACUAAUGGAUUGACGCUGAUGGACGAAAGCGUGGGUAG
rnacentral:rRNA from 1 species